rnacentral:rRNA from 1 species
UACGUAGGGGGCAAGCGUUGUCCGGAAUCAUUGGGCGUAAAGAGCGCGUAGGCGGCCCUGUAAGUCCGCUGUGAAAGUCAAGGGCUCAACCCUUGAAUGCCGGUGGAUACUGCAGGGCUAGAGUCCGGAAGAGGCGAGUGGAAUUCCUGGUGUAGCGGUGAAAUGCGCAGAUAUCAGGAGGAACACCGAUGGCGAAGGCAGCUCGCUGGGACGGUACUGACGCUGAGGCGCGAAAGCGUGGGAGCAACAGG